rnacentral:rRNA from 1 species
GGUUAAGCGACUAAGCGUACACGGUGGAUGCCCUGGCAGUCAGAGGCGAUGAAGGACGUGCUAAUCUGCGAUAAGCGUCGGUAAGGUGAUAUGAACCGUUAUAACCGGCGAUUUCCGAAUGGGGAAACCCAGUGUGUUUCGACACACUAUCAUUAACUGAAUCCAUAGGUUAAUGAGGCGAACCGGGGGAACUGAAACAUCUAAGUACCCCGAGGAAAAGAAAUCAACCGAGAUUCCCCCAGUAGCGGCGAGCGAACGGGGAGCAGCCCAGAGCCUGAAUCAGUGUGUGUGUUAGUGGAAGCGUCUGGAAAGGCGCGCGAUACAGGGUGACAGCCCCGUACACAAAAAUGCACAUGCUGUGAGCUCGAUGAGUAGGGCGGGACACGUGGUAUCCUGUCUGAAUAUGGGGGGACCAUCCUCCAAGGCUAAAUACUCCUGACUGACCGAUAGUGAACCAGUACCGUGAGGGAAAGGCGAAAAGAACCCCGGCGAGGGGAGUGAAAAAGAACCUGAAACCGUGUACGUACAAGCAGUGGGAGCACGCUUAGGCGUGUGACUGCGUACCUUUUGUAUAAUGGGUCAGCGACUUAUAUUCUGUAGCAAGGUUAACCGAAUAGGGGAGCCGAAGGGAAACCGAGUCUUAACUGGGCGUUAAGUUGCAGGGUAUAGACCCGAAACCCGGUGAUCUAGCCAUGGGCAGGUUGAAGGUUGGGUAACACUAACUGGAGGACCGAACCGACUAAUGUUGAAAAAUUAGCGGAUGACUUGUGGCUGGGGGUGAAAGGCCAAUCAAACCGGGAGAUAGCUGGUUCUCCCCGAAAGCUAUUUAGGUAGCGCCUCGUGAAUUCAUCUCCGGGGGUAGAGCACUGUUUCGGCAAGGGGGUCAUCCCGACUUACCAACCCGAUGCAAACUGCGAAUACCGGAGAAUGUUAUCACGGGAGACACACGGCGGGUGCUAACGUCCGUCGUGAAGAGGGAAACAACCCAGACCGCCAGCUAAGGUCCCAAAGUCAUGGUUAAGUGGGAAACGAUGUGGGAAGGCCCAGACAGCCAGGAUGUUGGCUUAGAAGCAGCCAUCAUUUAAAGAAAGCGUAAUAGCUCACUGGUCGAGUCGGCCUGCGCGGAAGAUGUAACGGGGCUAAACCAUGCACCGAAGCUGCGGCAGCGACGCUUAUGCGUUGUUGGGUAGGGGAGCGUUCUGUAAGCCUGUGAAGGUGUGCUGUGAGGCAUGCUGGAGGUAUCAGAAGUGCGAAUGCUGACAUAAGUAACGAUAAAGCGGGUGAAAAGCCCGCUCGCCGGAAGACCAAGGGUUCCUGUCCAACGUUAAUCGGGGCAGGGUGAGUCGACCCCUAAGGCGAGGCCGAAAGGCGUAGUCGAUGGGAAACAGGUUAAUAUUCCUGUACUUGGUGUUACUGCGAAGGGGGGACGGAGAAGGCUAUGUUGGCCGGGCGACGGUUGUCCCGGUUUAAGCGUGUAGGCUGGUUUUCCAGGCAAAUCCGGAAAAUCAAGGCUGAGGCGUGAUGACGAGGCACUACGGUGCUGAAGCAACAAAUGCCCUGCUUCCAGGAAAAGCCUCUAAGCAUCAGGUAACAUCAAAUCGUACCCCAAACCGACACAGGUGGUCAGGUAGAGAAUACCAAGGCGCUUGAGAGAACUCGGGUGAAGGAACUAGGCAAAAUGGUGCCGUAACUUCGGGAGAAGGCACGCUGAUAUGUAGGUGAAGUCCCUCGCGGAUGGAGCUGAAAUCAGUCGAAGAUACCAGCUGGCUGCAACUGUUUAUUAAAAACACAGCACUGUGCAAACACGAAAGUGGACGUAUACGGUGUGACGCCUGCCCGGUGCCGGAAGGUUAAUUGAUGGGGUUAGCGCAAGCGAAGCUCUUGAUCGAAGCCCCGGUAAACGGCGGCCGUAACUAUAACGGUCCUAAGGUAGCGAAAUUCCUUGUCGGGUAAGUUCCGACCUGCACGAAUGGCGUAAUGAUGGCCAGGCUGUCUCCACCCGAGACUCAGUGAAAUUGAACUCGCUGUGAAGAUGCAGUGUACCCGCGGCAAGACGGAAAGACCCCGUGAACCUUUACUAUAGCUUGACACUGAACAUUGAGCCUUGAUGUGUAGGAUAGGUGGGAGGCUUUGAAGUGUGGACGCCAGUCUGCAUGGAGCCGACCUUGAAAUACCACCCUUUAAUGUUUGAUGUUCUAACGUUGACCCGUAAUCCGGGUUGCGGACAGUGUCUGGUGGGUAGUUUGACUGGGGCGGUCUCCUCCUAAAGAGUAACGGAGGAGCACGAAGGUUGGCUAAUCCUGGUCGGACAUCAGGAGGUUAGUGCAAUGGCAUAAGCCAGCUUGACUGCGAGCGUGACGGCGCGAGCAGGUGCGAAAGCAGGUCAUAGUGAUCCGGUGGUUCUGAAUGGAAGGGCCAUCGCUCAACGGAUAAAAGGUACUCCGGGGAUAACAGGCUGAUACCGCCCAAGAGUUCAUAUCGACGGCGGUGUUUGGCACCUCGAUGUCGGCUCAUCACAUCCUGGGGCUGAAGUAGGUCCCAAGGGUAUGGCUGUUCGCCAUUUAAAGUGGUACGCGAGCUGGGUUUAGAACGUCGUGAGACAGUUCGGUCCCUAUCUGCCGUGGGCGCUGGAGAACUGAGGGGGGCUGCUCCUAGUACGAGAGGACCGGAGUGGACGCAUCACUGGUGUUCGGGUUGUCAUGCCAAUGGCACUGCCCGGUAGCUAAAUGCGGAAGAGAUAAGUGCUGAAAGCAUCUAAGCACGAAACUUGCCCCGAGAUGAGUUCUCCCUGACUCUUUAAGGGUCCUGAAGGAACGUUGAAGACGACGACGUUGAUAGGCCGGGUGUGUAAGCGCAGCGAUGCGUUGAGCUAACCGGUACUAAUGAACCGUGAGGCUUAACCUUACAACGCCGAAGCUGUUUUG